GGUGCUAUACACUCAAUGGCAGAGUGCCUGCUUGGUGUGCAUGAGGUCCUGGGUUCAAUCCCCAGUAUCUCUA
rnacentral:tRNA from 1 species